rnacentral:rRNA from 1 species
UACAGAGGUCUCGAGCGUUAGGCGGAAUCACUGGGCGUAAAGAGCGUGUAGGCGGCCAAGCAGGUCCGUUGUGAAAACUGGAGGCUUAACCUCCAGACGUCGACGGAAACCGCGUGGCUAGAGUCCGGAAGAGGAGAGUGGAAUUCCUGGUGUAGCGGUGAAAUGCGCAGAUAUCAGGAAGAACACCAAUGGCGAAGGCAGCUCUCUGGGACGGUACUGACGCUGAGACGCGAAAGCGUGGGGAGCGAACAGG